rnacentral:rRNA from 1 species
AUUGAACGCUGGCGGCAGGCCUAACACCUGCAAGUCGAACGAGUGGCGGACGGGUGAGUAAUGUCUGGGACACUGCCUGAUGGAGGGGGAUAACUACUGGAAACGGUAGCUAAUCCCGCAUACCAUCGGAUGUGCCCAGAUGGGAUUAGCUAGUAGGUGGGGUAAAGGCUCACCUAGGCGACGAUCCCUAGCUGGUCGGAGAGGAUGAACAGCCACACUGGAACUGAGACACGGUCCAGACUCCUACGGGAGGCAGAAGUGGGGAAUAUUGCACAAUGGGCGCAAGCCUGAUGCAGCCAUGCCGCGUGUAUGAAGAAGGCCUUCGGGUUGUAAAGUACUUUCAGCGGGGAGGCGUUACCCGCAGAAGAAGCACCGGCUAACUCCGUGCCAGCCGCCGCGGUAAUUC